AAUAUGGGAAAUUGCAGUAGAUAACUAUAAAACUUAUUUAAUUAGGCAGAUGGACAUCGUACUGUUCAAUUUUUCAUAAUGGCGACGUUGUCCCUAUGUAGCCGGUCACAUAUAGGUAGAAAGAGAAUAGUCUAACACAAACACGUUUGUGCAUUAAUUCUGAAAAGACGUUUUGCAGUAAACAAAAGUUUUCAUCUGUUUAUCUUUCUAUCACUCGUUCUUUCAUCUUCUUAACAUUCUUUCAAUUAGUUUUCAAUCUCAGAUUUUACAUGAUUUCCUCUUCUUGUUUUUUGAAUCUUAUAUAUUUCAUCUUGGUGUUUCAUCUCUUCUUGUUCUCUGUUUAUUUAAGAAAAAACUCAGAUCUAAAUAAAUUUGAAUCUCAUGGCUAACCAGAGCUGGAGAUGGCAGAGGAAGAGGCAACGUGUCUCUGAGGCGAUGGUGGUAUCAGAGCUAAGCAAAUCUGAUCUGAGAAAAUAAUGAUGAAACGGGAAGAUGAAAUGGUGGUGUGACGUCAAGCGUGGUGCAGUGAUGAGAAUAUGAAGUUAAGAAGUUAGAGAAGAAGAUAUGUCAAAAUCUAUGGAACAUAUUUCCCUUACUGCUACUACCAUUUCAACACUGCUCAAAAUCUUAUGCGGUUGUUCUUACUUGUUUAAUUCCAAUUUCAGUUAUAGAACAAUUUUGUGUUAUCAUAAUUAGUUUUUUUCAUGAAACAAUACAAAUAAUUUUAUUUUAACGGAAACUGAUUUGGUUA